CUGGGGUGCUCCUGCCUCAUUCUUGCCUCCUUCUCACAACCACAGAUGACCAGAAUAAUGACCCCCUUAGGCCCAAACACACGGGGCUCCCUCCUGAGGGCUAAGGUAUGGAAGAGGCAUUCUCAUUGAAGAAAGCAUGAGAAAUGAAAUUCCAUCCAAUUUCCAGUUUCUAUUUUGUUGUUUCACCUUGAAAUGCUGUAGGCAGAAACACACACAUGUGGGGACACAUGCUGUGGCCCUGGGUGACUGAAGUCAUGAAUUCACACUCAUCUGGGACGUUUUUACCACAACCAAAGUUUCUAACCACGGAAUCAAGGGAUGAUUAAAGCAGAAAUCAAUAGACAAAUCCAUUUUUGAACACUGAAUAAACUUUUUUGUAACAAUUAUAUGUUGGUUGCAAGUGGAAUGUUCUCUGUUCCUUUGACUUUUGAAUAUAACUUGUUCCAGAGUAAAUCUUGUAAAAUUAAGGACAUGAAUGUUUCUUUGUAUCCAGAACUAAAUAAGAAUUAAAAUUUGAUGCUUAAAUCCAAGGAUUAGGAGAGAACUACGUCCAGUGUACAUCUAAUGUGUAACAAUGAGAUAUUUAUUACUUUUAAAAAAGCAUUUGGAUGGGAAAUUAUACCUAUUGGUAAAUAUUAGAAAAUUUCAUGUUUAUUUUCCAUUAACUUUUGUGAAACAAAAAAGAAUUACUGUGAAGAUCUCUGGUUUAUUGCCAAUUUAUCACUUUCUAUGUUGCUACUGGAUAAGAAGUGGUGUUGGAGAUCUCUGAGGAGUGGAAACACAAAACCAACUUCAAGUUUUCUAAAUUCUGUUCUUUGAAAGGUAAUAAAACUGAAAUUAUUUGGCCAACAUCUGGGAGAUUUGACAACACAAUGGGUUAAGAGAAUUGGCUUAAAUUCCCUCCUCAUGCUCAGUGAUUCCACUUUACUCCUUCAGUAAAUGAUGUGGUUUCCUGUUGUGAGCUCUGCUGCCAUGCCAGGCACGUCCCUGAGCUUCUAGGGCAGCCAGUUGGAGGUGCCACGUGGCAUUUCUGUGUGUCACCACCAUGGCCCAGGAGCAGAGGUUGUCACUCCCACUUAGGCGCGACUGCACUCCUUGUCACUGGUUAUCGGAAAAUGUGCCUUCAUUUUCAGAAUAGUGGUGUGUGCGUUUCUGAUUAUGUAGCAAACCCUUUGAUAUUUGACUUAGAUACUAAAAACAUUUGAGUGUGGAGGUUUUGCACUCGUAGAUACAUUUAAAAGCAUGGAAUUGGUAAUUUAACUACAAGUUUUCUAUAACAUACACCUCGUUAAUAAUGCAUUUCUGUGAAAGGCUCUUUUCCAGUGUAGAUGAACCAUGGGUCAAGGGUGGAGAGAAACAACUGUUCUCUAAAUAGUCUGAUGUUAACUGACUGUCAAUGUGAGUCUGUGGGCAAUAAAGAAUAUUGUGAAAAGUC
rnacentral:lncRNA from 1 species